CUUUGUAUUCUUCCACAGCUUUCUUGAACUGCAGCAUUUAAAAGGUUUCUUUGCAUGCAGGCCAUGGCAUCUUGCUCCCAUACCUUGUUUUGCGGUUCAAUAAAGCUGUGGGAAAAUACAGAUA